rnacentral:lncRNA from 1 species
CCUGUCAACGCGUUAGUCACAGCCCAUCAGGUUCGAAUGAUGGUCCUGUCUCCCAGGGCAUCAGUGUUUGUUCAGAGACCCUCAGGGGUCCAGCCCCCUCUCCACAGAGGGCUUGUUCUCUUCUUCGGCAGCUGUGCUACCUGCCUUCCUCGCUUGAACUUGACCUCCUAAUGCUUCCCUCCAGAGGAUCAGAACACUGUGGGAGAGGCAUCAAUGGGCUAAUUACAUGUGCUGGAGAAAAGUUCACCCCUCAGAGCAGGAGCUCUUUUGAGGAAAAUGAUGGCAUGAUGCCAGGUACAACCAACCCAGGACUGAAUUCAGUUCAGUUCUGAUAAAUCAGCACUCCUGAAUGCUGGCCAUCUGCAAGAUGAUAUUUGAUGAGACUGAGUCACAUGUCUUUGAAUUUUAAAGACCUUUAAUAUAGUUUGCAUCCAUAUGUGUUGAAUGAUGCAAAUGAAUAAACCAGAAGCUCUUGGUACUAUUGAUGCUAUA